rnacentral:rRNA from 1 species
UACGUAGGGACCAAGCGUUGUUCGGAUUUACUGGGCGUAAAGGGCGCGUAGGCGGCAUAUUAAGUCAGCUGUGAAAUCUCCGAGCUUAACUCGGAACUGUCAGCUGAUACUGAUGUGCUAGAGUGCAGAAAGGGCAAUCAGAAUUCUUGGUGUAGCGGUGAAAUGCGUAGAUAUCAAGAGGAAUACCUGAGGCGAAGGCGGGUUGCUAGGCUGACACUGACGCUGAGGCGCGAAAGCGUGGGGAGCGAUCCGG